CAGGACAGUAAUAUGCUACAGCAUAUAGCGCUGACGACUGACAAUGAGAAAGUGUUUUGCAUUUGCUCCCUUAGCAUUAUGUCAAGAUGUCUGCUGCGCGCGCUCUCCUUUUGCUGAUAUUCGGAUUUACCAUGCUGAAAUUCAUCUGCUGUUACAGUGAUGGAAGUUUAUUGAUCGAUCAGUGUCAAAGUAUGGAUAUAAAUCAUGGCACAAAUCAACCGCAAGGACAAGAUUCAAACCCUUUCACCGUCGAUCCAGAUAACGUGGUCGUGGACGGUUCGAAAGUAGGAACGAACUUUACAGUGACACUCUCAACUUCUUCAGUUCCAUUUUUUGGCUUUAUGUUGAACGCUCAUAAGUGUGAUGGGGAUAAAUGUCAACCUGCUGGAAUGUUUAGUGUGCUUGACACGACAAAGAGUCUGCUCCUAUGUGGCGUAAGUGCUACUGCACACA